GUGAAUCAUCAAAUCUUUGAACGCAUAUUGCGCUCUCUGGUAUUCCGGAGAGUAUGCCUGUUUGAGGGUCAUUAAAAAGAACAUUUAACCAAUUUUUUUUGGUCAGAGGGAAUGAGUUCUCCGCGUUUAUAGCGGUAGCUUGAAAUAAAUGGGCAAGUCUCCUUUUAGUCGAGACGCGUCAUAAUAUUAUUUCGCGAAAUCUUCAUUAUGUGACUAUCAAGUUUUGAUUCAUACAAAUUUGUUUUGUAUGCGAUCAGUACAAAUAUUUUGACCAUUACCUCGACUUAGGUAGGAUUACCGG
rnacentral:misc_RNA from 1 species